GGGCUUUUCAUUCCCCGGUGCCCGCCCUAUAUCGGCUACGCCGGGUUCGCCCGGCUAUGGCGAUAAAGUGCGGCGUUCAAUAGAUGCAGCGGACCCGGGGGCAGUACCCGGCGACUCCACCAAAACGCGUCUUUCAGGCGGGUUCUGACGGGGUCGAACCAGGAUCGACGUGUAUUCAAACGCGCUGUUUUCGCCCGGGCUGAGUAACCCGUUAAAGGCUCAAAACCACAAGUGCUAACGAUAACGAAGCACUCGCAAUCGCCGCAUAAGCCGGACCUAACGGUCUAGUUUAUUUCGGACGAAAGCGCGGUCGGGCCGAACCGGGCAACAGAAGCGGUUCCAGCGGUACGGGGGGCACCGGGCAACAGAAGCCCCCCACU
rnacentral:tmRNA from 1 species